ensembl:lncRNA SOX5-AS1 SOX5 antisense RNA 1
AGCAUUCUAUCUGCACUUAAGAAUAGAAAAGCAGCAUUCUGAACAGCAAUGCUCAUCACAUAAACAUGAAGUUUCCUCCAAAAGGAAUGAUGACUAAUGCUUUGAGGAAACAGCAGACGUCAGACAGCAAGCCCAGAAAAACCUGCCAGCACCAAGAGGGUGUCCUCAACAGGCGCCUGGGGGACAUAUUAUUCUAACUAAAGAGACCAGAGCUUCCCCAGGAAGGGAAGAGGAGAGAAAUGAAGAACGUCUGUGUUCAUGUUUGCCAAAAACAAAAGUCUGAGAAAUCUCUGAGAGACUCUACAUGGGAGCAUCAAGCACAAAUGAUGAUCUCCUAGGACAGUGGCAGCUUCUGAGAAUGCACAGGAAAGUGACCAGGGAAAGAAUGAUUCCAUCUCCAGGAAUCCCUGGUGAUCUUCAGAGCCCAGACAGGACCCUGCUGGGCCAUGGUAACUGAGAAACUGAGAAGCAGAUACAGUGGUCCCUAUGUUGGCAACCUCAGCUGAAGAGGAACAACUCUCUCUAUAAUCAAGGACUUCUGAAACCAGAAAUCACCAGCGUGGGGAGAGAACAUUAAAGGCAGAGGUGUCUCUUAUAAGCACAACGUGUGACCAGGUAAUACUGUCUGGAUUAGCAGCUGUACAGCCUAACUAAGCCCUGGAGCUACAAUUAUCUGGUCGCAUUAAACUGAAAUCACCUGAAAAACUUCACACUGAACAAGCCUUUGGAAAUGUCUAAUCUGCCAGUUUACACCCAGAAGUGAAAGUGGAAUUCACUUGUUAAAGACAAGAAAACAAAAGUUUUCUGCCAGGAAGAGUCUCAUCUUAGAACCAGUAUAGGGUCUGAAGACAUUUCUGCAAUUUAUGUUUAUGCCAUUCUUUCACUUUUAUUUAAAAAGGAGAUUUAACCUGACCAUUCUCUUUGAAGCCGAUGUCCCAAGUAUAUAUGUUUGAUGAGGGUACAGAAGACAUAAGGAAUAAAACUGCAUUGCCACAGAGGGAAUACACGGCUCCAGAUACAAGGCUUUAUGCUAAUUUUAGCAAAAUGUAUGUAUCUUUUUACAUACAUAAAGUUAUGGCACUAUAUAAAGAGAUCCUUAAAUGUGACAUACACUGAAGUCCUAUUUACUGCCUGAGUAUUCCUUUUAAAAAAUAAAAACUACAAGUAGUGGUUGUAUUAAUAUUAAACUAUCUCCAAAAUUCACUUUAGUUCUUUAACUUGUAAGAUAUAGCCAAAUCAUAUGCUCAAAAUUAAAACCCUGAUUUUAGUACCAGAUUACAGUUAUUUAAUGGUAGAUCAAAAGCAGCUAAUCUUUGGCUCCAAAUUAGGACCUCUCUACUCUGUCUGUUGUAACGCCUCACUUGCCUCUGUUUCCUGUUCUUCAUUUGUCAAUACUGAUGCUGAAAAUUCAUUGUGUCAGGUUGCAAUAUAUUCUGUAAAACCACAUUUCCCAAAACAACAACUACUUUUCCGUACAAAGAUGCAAUUUAUGGCAAUUUGGCUAUGCUGUAUCUUGAAGUCGAAUAUCAAGAUUUCCAGAAAACAAAAUUAAAUUCUUAAACAUGUACAAGUAUUAAAA